ACCCAAUACUCUGGGUAUUGGGAUUUGGAAGAAAAAGAGCUGAUGAAAGAGGGGGAAAAGAGAAGAGAAGAGGGUUAAGAUACUAAUGGAGAGUGGCUUAGCUCAGACGAACAAAUCAAAGAGGCAGAGAGACACUAUAUCUCAAGUGAGGACUCGGGCUAGCUUCAGUGCACUAAAUAUUGGCUUUAAAAUAUACAAACAGAGAUAUGGGAUAAUGAAGGGGUAGAAACAAGGAAGAAAAUGAGACUGGUUAAUGCGAGAAGGGAACGCAACGAGAUAAGAACGCUGGAGACAGAAUAAUAUGAAGAUACGACAAGGAAAGAAGAAGAAAAAGGGCGCCAACUCGAACGAACAGCUCAGAUUUCUGAACCGAGGAUUUGAAAAGUUCGAGAUUUUUUGAAAUAAAGAAAAACAGAAUAAACGACCAAUAAAUAAAUGACAGUGAUACAAUGACCUGAAAUACAAAAAAAAAUAUUCACUAUUUACCUUGUUCUGCUAUAUUAUCAACUGGUGAUACGAGACUGAAAUAAAAAUCAACCUUACUAAGAACAAAUAUAUUUAUAAUAUUUCACAACUUACAAUGUAUCCAUGAUACUUAUAAAACAUGUGAGAUAAACAAUAGUGGUGGAGUUGAGAAAAAUAACAAUCCAGAACCCAAAGGGUUACGCCAAGUAAAUUACCACCGCUAUUGCGCAAUAUAAAAAUAUCAAUAACGAAAACCAGGUCAGUGUCCGUAAGCGUAGCAAAAUCCUAUACUAUGGUUAGUAUACUAAUAUUAAUUGAUCCUAGACUAGAUAAGGUAUAGUUAAUACUAGAACAACUAAUGGUUACACAAAAAAAUUUAAUACCUUAUCUAGCAGAGACUUAAAGGGUGACGUACUCACCAAUCGAACUAUUAAGUGUCCGAAACAAUCGAAAUACCAGAUCUAUGUCUAAGUACUAUACCUAAGUAAACAUAGAUGCUGGAAGCUAUAUAAAACUAACAAAAUGAGUUUGGUUAAAGACUUAUCCAGAAAUAUUAUUUAAAACCUAUCGACAAUCUUUAUAUAUGUCUUAAUUCCCCUUUCCCUUAUCAAUUAAUUUAUUUUAUUUGAAUAUUUAUUUAUUAUUUACCAUUACCUAGCUUUAUUUAAAAUCCUACUUCAAAAACCUAUGUAUAUAGUGUAGUAUAGGUACCUGUUAUAUGCAUAUAAACAGUUUACACAAAUUUAUUACUGUAGAGUAAAAACCAAAAUAUUUAUAGGUAUGAAUUGAAAUAAAGAAAAAAAAACUCUUAUCUUUUGCAACUCCUGGGUAUAUUCAUAGGAAGGUCCACUAGAUUUGGGAAAUCUCUGGGCACUAUAACAUCUGUGUGGAGCGGUCUGAAGUUGAGAGGUUCUGUGGAUGUAUUUGGUGAAACGGGUCGGUAAUGGUUUAUGAUGUCCUACUAUUAGUUAUAUAAAGUAUGUUUAUCCAUUUAUUUAUCCAUAAAAAAAAUCCAAUUAAGUAUCCAAAUUAGUUAUAUAAGGUAUAUUUAACCAUAAAAAAAAUCCAGUUAAGUAUCCAUACUAUGGGUGGAAUGGAAAUAUGAUGUAGAAUGUAAAACGAACCUAAAAA
rnacentral:lncRNA from 1 species